UACAGAGGUCCCGAGCGUUGUUCGGAUUUAUUGGGCGUAAAGGGUGCGUAGGCGGCGGAGUAAGUUGGGUGUGAAAUCCCGGGGCUCAACCUCGGAAUUGCAUUCAAUACUGCUUCGCUCGAGUACUGGAGAGGAGGCUGGAAUUUACGGUGUAGCAGUGAAAUGCGCAGAUAUCGUAAGGAAGGCCGGUGGCGAAAGCGAGCCUCUGGACAGUUACUGACGCUGAUGCACGAAGGCCAGGGGAGCAAACGGG
rnacentral:rRNA from 1 species